rnacentral:rRNA from 1 species
GGUUACUGCUAUCGGUGUUCGCCUAAGCCAUGCGAGUCAUAUGUUCUUCGGAACAUGGCGUACUGCUCAGUAACACGUGGAUAACCUGCCCUUGGGUCCGGCAUAACCCCGGGAAACUGGGGAUAAUUCCGGAUAACGCACAUAUGCUGGAAUGCUUUAUGCGUCAAAUGGAUUCGUCCGCCCAAGGAUGGGUCUACGGCCUAUCAGGUAGUAGUGGGUGUAAUGUACCUACUAGCCUACGACGGGUACGGGUUGUGAGAGCAAGAGCCCGGAGAUGGAUUCUGAGACAUGAAUCCAGGCCCUACGGGGCGCAGCAGGCGCGAAAACUUUACAAUGCGGGAAACCGUGAUAAGGGGACACCGAGUGCCAGCAUCAUAUGCUGGCUGUCCGGGUGUGUAAAAUACACCUGUUAGCAAGGGCCGGGCAAGACCGGUGCCAGCCGCCGCGGUAACACCGGCGGCCCGAGUGGUGAUCGUGAUUAUUGGGUCUAAAGGGUCCGUAGCCGGUUUGGUCAGUCCUCCGGGAAAUCUGACGGCUUAACCGUUAGGCUUUCGGGGGAUACUGCCAGACUUGGAACCGGGAGAGGUAAGAGGUACUACAGGGGUAGGAGUGAAAUCUUGUAAUCCCUGUGGGACCACCUGUGGCGAAGGCGUCUUACCAGAACGGGUUCGACGGUGAGGGACGAAAGCUGGGGGCACGAACCGGAUUAGAUACCCGGGUAGUCCCAGCCGUAAACGAUGCUCGCUAGGUGUCAGGCAUGGCGCGACCGUGUCUGGUGCCGCAGGGAAGCCGUGAAGCGAGCCACCUGGGAAGUACGGCCGCAAGGCUGAAACUUAA